CUCCUGCACAUGCCCGGACCAGGGCCCGGGCCAGGGAGGAGCCUGCCACCAAGAAGGAGAUAUACAUGAAAGAAAACUGGUCCAGAAAACCCUUUCCAAGGAUUCUCGAGGCCCAGCGUUUAGGCUGCCUCCCGGCGUGACGGCUCUUGGGGAGAGUAUGGUUAUGAAGUGAAUGAAUGAAUACACGGGGUAAGUCUUCUGCUUCGAGACACUGAAUGGCACGUGAGAACUUAACCCCAGAGCUGCCCUGAAAACUCACAGUCCCGGGGGACAUACUCCUGCUCUCGAACCCCUGCCUGCGUGCCCGUGGCACCCCCUCUCCCACCGCCUCCACGGUCCCCAGGCUUCCCGGCCCCCGGCCCCCACGAGGGCACAGCCGUGUCUCCGAGUUCCCCAGUCCUCCCUCUAGAGUUUUCUGUUUCCUCUAAGAAAUGACGCGCUUGGAAAAGGCCAGGCUCUUACCUGGUGGGCUUUGUAUUCGGUUCCUUCACGAAGGCGGGCAGGGUGAACAGGAGGAAGAUCAACCCGGCCAAGAGCAGGAGCCAGCGGGCAGCGCGGCCCAGCCAGUCUCUGAACGGAGGACUUCAUGUAAAACAAACACGCGUUACGUGGGAGGAACCUCGCCUUCAUCAGCUGGUUCCACACCCGUGGGGACCCCGGACGGGUGCCCGGCCUCCAC